GGUCAAGCUACAAAGGGCUCACGGUGGAUACCUUGGCACACAGAGGCGAUGAAGGACGUGGUUACCUGCGAUAAGUCUCGGGGAGCUGGAAACACGCUUUGAUCCGGGAAUUUCCGAAUGGGGCAACCCCUAGAACGGUCCGCUGAAUCCAUAGGCGGACGCGAGCCAACCCAGCGAACUGAAACAUCUUAGUAGCUGGAGGAAAGGAAAGUAAAAACGACUCCCUA
rnacentral:rRNA from 1 species